UCAAGUUUAAAAGGGCAUACGGCGGAUGCCUAGGCGUUUCGAAACGAAGAAGGACGCGAUAAGCUGCGAUAAGCCGUGGUUAGCUGCAAGUAAGCAUUGAUCCACGGAUUUCCGAAUGGGGCAACCCGGCAAGAGUAACGUCUUGUCACCUUAUCUUCGAGAUAAGGAGAAAACACCCGAUGAACUGAAACAUCUAAGUAGUCGGAGGAAAAGAAAUCAAAGAGAUUCCCUGAGUAGCGGCGAGCGAAACGGGAAGAGCCCAAACCAAGAGACUUCGGUUUCUUGGGGUUGCGGACCUGCAACAAACCGGACACUUUAGUGGAAGCAUCUGGGAAGGUGCGGCAAAGAGAGUGAGACCCUCGUACACGAAAGAGUGAAAGGCGGGCAGGGAUCCAGAGUACCACAGGGCACGAGGAACCCAGUGGGAAGCAGGGUGGACCACCAUCCAAGGCUAAAUACAUCGAAACGACCGAUAGUGAAAAGUACCGUGAGGGAAAGGUGAAAAGAACCCCGGGAGGGGAGUGCAAAAGAACCUGAAACCGUAUGUCUACAAACAGUCGAAGCACAAUUUAACGUGCGACGGCGUGCCUAUUGAAGAAUGAACCGGCGAGUUAAUUUAUGCUGCGAGGUUAAGCAGAAGAUGCGGAGCCGAAGCGAAAGCGAGUCUUAAGAGGGCUGUUAGUAGCAUGGAUUAGACCCGAAACCACAGUGAUCUAUGCAUGUCCAGGUUGAAGCUCAGGUAAAAAUGAGUGGAGGACCGAACCCGUGCGUGUUGAAAAACGUUGGGAUGAGGUGUGCAUAGGGGUGAAAUGCCAAUCGAACGUGGAGAUAGCUGGUUCUCCCCGAAAUAGCUUUAGGGCUAGCCUCAGGCGAAUCACCAUAGAGACGGUAGAGCACUGAUCGGGCAAGGGGGCGUAAAGCCUACCGACCCCAGUCAAACUACGAAUGGCUCAUAUGGGCAGCCUGGGAGUCAGAAUGCGAGUGAUAAGACCCGUAUUCAAGAGGGAAACAGCCCAGACCGCCGGCUAAGGUCCCAAAUGCUGUGCUAAGUGGAAAAGGAUGUAGGACUUCGAAAACAACCAGGAUGUUGGCUCAGAAGCAGCCACCAUUAAAAGAGUGCGUAAUAGCUCACUGGUCGAGAGGCCCUGCGCCGAAAAUAUCCGGGGCUAAAGCACAGAACCGAAGCCGCGGCAGGGUGUACUAAGGUACACACUGGGUAGGGGAGCGUUCUUAUCUGGACGAAGGCAGACCGGAAGGACUGCUGGACGGGUAAGAAGUGAGAAUGCCGGUAUGAGUAGCGAAACGACAGGUGAGAAUCCUGUCCACCGAAAGCCUAAGGGAUCCUGGGCAACGCUCGUCGUCCCAGGGUAAGUCGGGACCUAAGCCGAGGCGAAAAGCAUAGGCGAUGGACAACUGGCGAAAAUUCCAGUACCGGGCGUCUUCGUUUAAGGAUGGAGUGACGCAGGAAGGAAGCUGAGCGCGCGAAUGGUUGGGCGCGUCGAAGGCGGUAGGCUUGUAUGGAGGCAAAUCCCCAUACGAUAAGGCCGAGAACCGAUAGAUAGGAAAGACUACGGUCAAUCUGAAUUCAGCCGCACUACACUGCCAAGAAAAGCUUCUAACGAGAAGACGUCUGCCCGUACCAAAACCGACACAGGUAGGCGGGGAGAGAAUCCUAAGGUGCGCGGGAAAACCCUCGUUAAGGAACUCGGCAAAAUGCAUCCGUAACUUCGGGAAAAGGAUGGCCGCUGAUGGUGACGACACUUGCUGUCUGAGCUGUUGGCGGCGGCAGAAAAGAGGCCCAAGCGACUGUUUACCACAAACACAGGUGCCUGCGAAAGCGCAAGCUGAAGUAUAGGUGCUGACGCCUGCCCGGUGCAGGAAGGUUAAGGAGAGUUGUUAGUCUUUGGGAUGAAGCAGCGAACUGAAGCCCCUGUAAACGGCGGCCGUAACUAUAACGGUCCUAAGGUAGCGAAAUUCCUUGUCGGGU
rnacentral:rRNA from 1 species